rnacentral:rRNA from 1 species
GGCGAAGGCUAUACUGCAGUCUAGCGAGCUUGCCUAGAUGAUUUUAGUGCUUGCGCUAAAUGAAACUAGAUACAAGCGAGCGGCGGACGGGUGAGUAACACGUGGGUAACCUGCCCAAGAGACUGGGAUAACACCUGGAAACAGAUGCUAAUACCGGAUAACAACACUAGACGCAUGUCUAGAGUUUGAAAGAUGGUUCUGCUAUCACUCUUGGAUGGACCUGCGGUGCAUUAGCUAGUUGGUAAGGUAACGGCUUACCAAGGCAAUGAUGCAUAGCCGAGUUGAGAGACUGAUCGGCCACAUUGGGACUGAGACACGGCCCAAACUCCUACGGGAGGCAGCAGUAGGGAAUCUUCCACAAUGGACGAAAGUCUGAUGGAGCAACGCCGCGUGAGUGAAGAAGGGUUUCGGCUCGUAAAGCUCUGUUGGUAGUGAAGAAAGAUAGAGGUAGUAACUGGCCUUUAUUUGACGGUAAUUACUUAGAAAGUCACGGCUAACUACGUGCCAGCAGCCGCGGUAAUACGUAGGUGGCAAGCGUUGUCCGGAUUUAUUGGGCGUAAAGCGAGUGCAGGCGGUUCAAUAAGUCUGAUGUGAAAGCCUUCGGCUCAACCGGAGAAUUGCAUCAGAAACUGUUGAACUUGAGUGCAGAAGAGGAGAGUGGAACUCCAUGUGUAGCGGUGGAAUGCGUAGAUAUAUGGAAGAACACCAGUGGCGAAGGCGGCUCUCUGGUCUGCAACUGACGCUGAGGCUCGAAAGCAUGGGUAGCGAACAGGAUUAGAUACCCUGGUAGUCCCUGCCGU